GACGCGGAGAGUGUAUAUGACGUAAUACGAUGGUGGCCGAAACCACGUGACUCGCUGCAUGCUGAAAUGUCAAGCCACGAAAAUAUUGAGCUUAAAAAUGGGAUGUUCCGAAGUGGGUAUGAAAAAAGUGGGUUAUCUGCUGCGCAAUCGAGAGUCAGAGCCGUUGUACAAAUAAAUGUAAUGACAGAAUCUUUGUUCGGAUGUCUCGAAAUUAAACUUUACUCAAGGGAAUCGUGACAGAAGACCUCAGAAACUCUUGGAUGAAGGUUUCGCAGCAAAAUCUUCCCUGGACAGCAACAGCACUGAUGCCCUUUGCUGCGCGACCGACAUUAAUUUGUAGGAAGUCAUCAUUCGUGGUUGAAAGAAUACAAAAAUAUUUGGAAGGGCCAGAUCUGUUCAAUCGAGAGCUGGGAAGAUUGCCUGAAUCUGUUGACGCUUCAAUAUUUCGCAAAGGAAUAUUGUAGUUCUCCAUUCCAAGAGGAUCGCCACAUUCUUGAAGGCAUACUGGUAUCAUACUAGUAUUUACUGCAUAAGGGAAUUCAAUAUAACCAAUCAACCCCAAAGAUGAAAUGGUACAACAGCAAAAAAAAGAAAAAAACACACCUUGCACACCAAGCUCCCCCGAAGUCUGAGGAACCCAACCUAGCCAUCCACGGCGGGUAAUUGCCACUUAUCGACGAGGAAGCGGUCAUGGCAGUUUUAGGUAUUUUCCAGUCGGAUACUCCAACCAUGUCUUCGCAAUCUGCAACAAUGUUGGGGUGUACUUUAGCUUCGUUAAGCAACGAUAAUUUUAGCCAAACACCACUAAAGCUGAUGGAAUACAACCUUCUCUACUGCAACACAUAACAUAGCGCGUAACAUGAUAAGCAUGUUACAAAACACGUAACUCAUCCCUGGUACAUAGCACGUAACAUGACAACCAUCCUACAUAACACGACAAAAAACACCCAAAAUGGAUAAAAACCAUGGGCUAUAAUCCAUGCUUUUUGACCAAAAUAGGCCAAACAUGACCCUUUUCAUAAUUGAAUUAUUUUUUCAGAUAAUUGAAAAAAUACCCAAAAUGAAAGAAAACCAUGGGCUAUGACCUAAACAUCACCCUUUUCCAUAUUAGGAUAAUUUUUGAUUAAGUCUAAAACCACCCAAAAUGGAUAAAAACCAUGGUGCAUGCUUUUUGCUCAAAAUAGUCCAAACA